GACGAACGCUGGCGGCGUGCCUAAUACAUGCAAGUAGAACGCUGAAGGAGGAGCUUGCUCUUCUGGAUGAGUUGUGAACGGGUGAGUAACGCGUAGGUAACCUGCCUGGUAGCGGGGGAUAACUAUUGGAAACGAUAGCUAAUACCGCAUAACAGUAGAUGUUGCAUGACAUUUACUUAAAAGGUGCAAUUGCAUCACUACCAGAUGGACCUGCGUUGUAUUAGCUAGUUGGUGGGGUAACGGCUCACCAAGGCGACGAUACAUAGCCGACCUGAGAGGGUGAUCGGCCACACUGGGACUGAGACACGGCCCAGACUCCUACGGGAGGCAGCAGUAGGGAAUCUUCGGCAAUGGACGGAAGUCUGACCGAGCAACGCCGCGUGAGUGAAGAAGGUUUUCGGAUCGUAAAGCUCUGUUGUAAGAGAAGAACGAGUGUGAGAGUGGAAAGUUCACACUGUGACGGUAUCUUACCAGAAAGGGACGGCUAACUACGUG
rnacentral:rRNA from 1 species